GAGUUUGAUCAUGGCUCAGAGCGAACGCCGGCGGCAUGCUUAACACAUGCAAGUCGCACGGUCAGCAAUGGCAGUGGCGGACGGGUGAGUAACACGUAGGAAUCUAUCUCUGGGUGGGGGACAACAGUGGGAAACUACUGCUAAUACCGCAUGAUACCUGAGGGUCAAAGGCGUAAGUCGCCUGGAGAGGAGCCUGCGUCUGAUUAGCUUGUUGGUGGGGUAAAGGCCUACCAAGGCUACGAUCAGUAGCUGGUCCGAGAGGAUGAUCAGCCACAUUGGGACUGAGACACGGCCCAAACUCCUACGGGAGGCAGCAGUGGGGAAUAUUGGACAAUGGCGAAAGCCUGAUCCAGCAAUGCCGCGUGUGUGAAGAAGGUCUUCGGAUUGUAAAGCACUUUUGGCAGGGACGAUGAUGACGGUACCUGCAGAAUAAGCCCGGCUAACUUCGUGCCAG
rnacentral:rRNA from 1 species